GAAAUGCGAUAAGUAGUGUGAAUUGCAGAAUUCAGUGAAUCAUCGAAUCUUUGAACGCACAUUGCGCCCCUUGGUAUUCCAUGGGGCAUGCCUGUUCGAGCGUCAUUUGUACCCUCAAGCUCUGCUUGGUGUUGGGUGUUUGUCCCGUCUCCGCGCGUGGACUCGCCCCAAAGUGAUUGGCAGCCGGCGUACUGGUCCCGGAGCGCAGCACAUGUCGCGCAAACGAGUGCCUUGGUACGGCGGCGUCCAUAAGCCCCUCUCUCACGCUCUUGACCUCGGAUCAGGUAGGGAUACCCGCUGAACUUUAGC
rnacentral:misc_RNA from 1 species